AACGGAGGUUUUAAAUGGAAGGUCCUCGGAGUGGAAGUUAGAAACUAGUGGCGGACGGGUGAGUAACGCGUGGGUAACCUGCCUCAUACAGGGGGAUAACAGUCGGAAACGAUUAGCUAAAACCGCAUAAUAUAGCGAAACCGCAUGAUUUUGCUAUCAAAUAGUUUAUAGGUAUGAGAGUGGGCCCGCGUCUGAUUAGCUAGUUGGUGGGGUAAUGGCCUACCAAGGCGACGAUCCAGUAGCCGGCUUGAGAGAGUGACCGGCCACAUUGGGACUGAGACACGGCCCAAACUCCUACGGGAGGCAGCAGUGGGGAAUAUUGGACAAUGGGGGAAACCCUGAUCCAGCGACGCCCGCGUGAGUGAAGAAGUAUUUCGGUAUGUAAAGCUCUAUCAGCAGGGAAGAUAAUGACAGUACCUGACUAAGAAGCCCCGGCUAACUACGUGCCAGCAGCUGC
rnacentral:rRNA from 1 species